UCUCUCGAAUCCUUGGCAGGGAUUUUGAGACCACAACUCUUCUCUGCCUCUUAAAGGCUUUCCCUGGGAGAAGUUGUAGGACGCGGCGGAAUUUCUUUCUUCUUUGUAUCUGUGUUGGCUAAAGCAGGACAGAGGAGCUUGAAAAGGCUCGCCCUCCUCAAGGAACGCUAUCUGAUUCGUAAGCAUUCCUAGAGGUUAAGGCUGGUGACUAUCAAGAAAGCAAAUACUUCACGCAAGGCUUAUGAUAAUGAAUUGAAUCAUAAAAAACAAUCAUAAAACAUCUCCAUAUUGCAUCCAUGAGAUUGACUAGGAUGAUUUACACUAAAUGGAUUUUUACAUGGAAUGGAUUUCUUUUCCAAAGUUCACCGAGAGUCAAGACUACAUCCCUACGUGUUUAGGAGCCAGAAAUUAUCGUGCCACACACGGUCAGGUGGCAUUUUUCCAGAAGCUGACAUGUCCUUUCAUUGCUAAAAACCUCAGUUUGGAAUGGAAUGGAGUCAAGUACAGGAAGGAGAUGAUUAUGGAAACUGUAAGAAUUUGAGACCUCAGCUAUCUUCAGACACAGCAAAACAUUUCCUCCU